rnacentral:rRNA from 1 species
UACGUAGGGUGCAAGCGUUGUCCGGAAUUAUUGGGCGUAAAGAGCUCGUAGGCGGUCUGUCGCGUCGGAUGUGAAAACCCAGGGCUCAACCCUGGGCCUGCAUUCGAUACGGGCAGACUAGAGUUCGGUAGGGGAGACUGGAAUUCCUGGUGUAGCGGUGAAAUGCGUAGAUAUCAGGAGGAACACCGGUGGCGAAGGCGGCUUUCUGGACACUAACUGACGCUGAGACGCGAAAGCGUGGGGAGCAAACAGG